rnacentral:rRNA from 1 species
AACACCGAUGGCGAAGGCAGCCCCCUGGGCCUGUACUGACGCUCAUGCACGAAAGCGUGGGGAGCAAACAGGACUAGAUACCCUGGUAGUCCACGCCCUAAACGAUGUCGACUAGUCGUUCGGAGCAGCAAUGCACUGAGUGACGCAGCUAACGCGUGAAGUCGACCGCCUGGGGAGUACGGCCGCAAGGUUAAAACUCAAAGGAAUUGACGGGGACCCGCACAAGCGGUGGAUGAUGUGGAUUAAUUCGAUGCAACGCGAAAAACCCUACCUACCCUUGACAUGUCUGGAACCUUGGUGAGAGCCGAGGGUGCCUUCGGGAGCCAGAACACAGGUGCUGCAUGGCUGUCGUCAGCUCGUGUCGUGAGAUGUUGGGUUAAGUCCCGCAACGAGCGCAACCCUUGUCACUAGUUGCCAUCAUUUAGUUGGGCACUCUAGUGAGACUGCCGGUGACAAACCGGAGGAAGGUGGGGAUGACGUCAAGUCCUCAUGGCCCUUAUGGGUAGGGCUUCACACGUCAUACAAUGGUCGGUACAGAGGGUUGCCAAGCCGCGAGGUGGAGCCAAUCCCUUAAAGCCGAUCGUAGUCCGGAUCGUAGUCUGCAACUCGGCUACGUGAAGUCGGAAUCGCUAGUAAUCGGAGAUCAGCAUGCUGCGGUGAAUAC